GAUCCCGUCUUGACAGUUGUAGGUGAAACGUGAUGGUUCCGUGUCACUGUGACGUGCCCGUUUGUGUGCAUGCAGAAAUGCAGCCACAAAGACUGGGCUGAACCCUGACCAUGGGUGAAGGGUCUGCAUUACCCCAGACGAUGGGGUGGCGGUGUAAUUGCAAGAUGACUCACGCUGGAUGUUUUUAUUCUCCUGAGACCAACGGAGUGCUAGGUGAGGAUCAGAGGACACUGUCAUUGUGUCCAGCAGAGCCUGAAUUACCGGAUGCUGGACACCUUCAGAGGUCCCUGUGUAUCUGCGUGCUUUACAACCUUAUUAUUAAAAGUGUUACUGCUGAUACAAAAUUUAAUUUUUGGAAAGUUAUUUAUUGGAUAGGCUCCUAACAGUAUUGAGGACACGCUUCUCAAUAAAGUGUAUAGUUUUCGUAAAGGAAAUAAUUACUUAGUGGUUGCUGCAGAUAAGGCCAACACUUCAUUAACAGAAGUAAAAGGAUGAAAAGAAACAGAAAUGGCUCAGUUGCUGUCUAAACUUGAUAUGUAUGUCCCAGCUUUUCUAUUUUUGUGUGUGAUCCAGACUCUUGUUAGAAUUCUGAGUUUAUGACACCUGUGUGCACACAUUUCUCUCCUUGCUGAAAUAGAGCAGGAGAACCUGGUGACUGAGCUCUGGGUGUUUUUAGAGCCAGCUUCAAGUCCGCAUGCAGAUGCACAAUUAUGGAAUAGCUCUUUGCACAAUCAGAGACUGUCAGAGCGUUAUUACCUCCAGGAUGAAAUCCAGUCUGUCUUGCUCUCUGCAGACUGACCUCAGGCUUGCUUUCUUUUCUUCCUUUUUUUUUUUUUUCUUUAAAAUUUUAGGAAA